CUGUAAUUUGUUGGGGAGGAUUCAACCUCUAUCAAUGUCCAUGUGAAGGUUCUGCACAACCAAUACAGCAAUACAGCACCUGACAUCCUGACUGUUAAGGACCGAAAGAAGCAAACAUUUCCUCUAAAGCAUCUGGAAAUUGCAGAAGCUGUUGGCUGUUAACAACGUCCUGAAGAAAUACCUAUUAUUAAGCUUCUGGGAAGCUGUUCUUAAUAAUGGGUAUUUCUUCAGGACAUUGUUAACAGCCAACAGCUUCUGCAAUUUCCAGAUGCCUCAGAGGAAAUGUUUGAUUCAAUCGUUCCUUAACAGUCAGGAUGUCAGGUGGUGUAUUGCUGUAUUGGUUGUGCAGAACCUUCACAUGGACAUUGACAGGGGUUGAAUCCUCCCCAACAAAACACAGACACAAGCUUGAGAAGUAAUCACUG
ensembl:lncRNA